GACGAACGCUGGCGGCGUGCUUAACACAUGCAAGUCGAACGGAAAGGCCCUGCUUUUGUGGGGUGCUCGAGUGGCGAACGGGUGAGUAACACGUGAGUAACCUGCCCUUGACUUUGGGAUAACUUCAGGAAACUGGGGCUAAUACCGGAUAGGAGCUCCUGCUGCAUGGUGGGGGUUGGAAAGUUUCGGCGGUUGGGGAUGGACUCGCGGCUUAUCAGCUUGUUGGUGUGGUAGUGGCUUACCAAGGCUUUGACGGGUAGCCGGCCUGAGAGGGGGACCGGCCACAUUGGGACUGAGAUACGGCCCAGACGCCUACGGGAGGCAGCAGUGGGGAAUAUUGCACAAUGGGCGGACGCCUGAUGCAGCAACGCCGCGUGCGGGAUGACGUCCUUCGGGGUGUAAACCGCUUUCGCCUGUGACGAAGCGUGAGUGACGGUAAUGGGUAAAGAAGCACCGGCUAACUACGUG
rnacentral:rRNA from 1 species